GAUGGUGUCAAUUUCACUGGCCCCAGGGAAGAGUGGCCUGAGCGUGUACACUUCCGCCAUGAUGCAGCCCACUGCCCAGAUGUCAAUGGGGGAGCUGUAGUUGGUGGACCUCAGGAGCACUUCUGGAGCCCUGUACCUGGGCGGACAGAAGCACUGCUGGUUACUGCGUCCACAGUCAGAAGUUCAGUGACACACUACAAUCCAUUCUCAGGGCGCGGGCAGACACAGCUCCAAUUUUUGCACAGAAGAAUGAAAGCUUCUGAAGCCAGUCAUGCACUUCACCUGUGAGGAGGUGGUGCUAAGCUCUGAUCCAGUUCUUAGCCGCAAGGUGCCAUGUUGUAAGCUGCUCUCCGGGGAGACCACAUGCCAAAGGACAGAGGACAGCCUCCAGCCAACAGCCAGCAGGGACCUGGGGCCCACCGUACAACCUCCCAGGAGGUAUUGGAUGCUGCCUGUAAUCACGUGAGUGAGCCCCAAAGUGGAUCCAUUCCCAGCCCAGCCUUCAGAUAAGGCCAACACCUUGAUUGCAGCCUCAUGAGAGACUCUAAAGAACUCACCUAGAUCUUGCCCAGACUCCUGACUCACAGAAACUCUGAGAUAAUAAAUAUGUGUACUUUUAAACCA